GGGCGGGGCCGGAAGUGGGGGGGGCGGUGGCGGCGGGAUGGAGCCGGCGCGGGAGCCGCGCGCUGGGCGCUCAGGUUUCCAAAAGCAGAGGGAGAAUUUCCCUGGCAUCAGUGACCUAGCGAGGCAACUUUCAAGCUCAGAAUGGAGCUGGUGAACAGGCAAGAUCCCUACCUCCGAGAGGUCCUGUGGUUUGCAGCGUGCUGCAGAGCCCUGACGCUUCUGCUGCAGGCUCUGUUCAACCUCCUGAUCCCAGAUCACGCUGCAGAUGCCUUCUCUCCCCCUCGCCUGUCUGAGCCUGGCCUUUGCGACCUGCUCCUGGAGUGGCUUUUGGGAGGCCUCUCGCACUGGGACGCGGAGCACUUCCUCUUCAUCGCUGAGCGAGGCUACCUGUAUGAGCACAACUUUGCCUUCUUCCCGGCGUACCCCCUGAGCACGCGCGCCCUGGCAGAAGUUGCUCUGUGGCCCCUGCAGUGGCUGCUGCGUCUGCGGAGCCGUCUGCUGCUGUCAGCUGUACUUCUUAAUUCCCUCUUUUCUGUCCUGGCAGCGGCUGCCCUGUAUAAGCUGGGCUGUGUCGUGCUGCGGUGUCGCAGGGUGGCUUUCCUCGCUGCCGCUCUGUUUUGUAUCAGCCCUGCCAACGUAUUUAUGGCAGCUGCGUACUCAGAGAGCAUGUUUGCCUUCCUGGCCUUCAGUGCCAUGUGGCAACUGGAGAAGGGGCAGAGCUGGUUCAGUGGACUGCUCUUCUCCCUUGCUUCUGGGGUGCGUGCCAAUGGGCUUAUCAAUGCCGGCUUCUUUAUCUACUCCCGCAGUAAGCGCUUUGCCCUCCAGCUCCAGGUGGGUUCAGGACUGGUAAGGAAGCGCCCUCCAUUCUGGAGGCAACUCCUUAGCUUGGCAUCUUCAGUCAUUCUGAUGUGCGCUGGGAUCUUUCUGCCAUUUGUUUUAUUUCAGUAUUAUGCUUAUGUGAGGUUCUGUGCUCCUGGCACUGGCCUGCAGCAGAGUGUUCCCCAGCCGCUGCUGCAGCUGGCUCUGGACAAGGGCUAUCGUCUAGCGGCUAUGAAUAGCCUUAAACCCCCUUGGUGUUCUCAGCGGUUCCCUGUGGUCUAUUCCUAUAUUCAAGAGGCUUACUGGAAUGUGGGCUUUCUAAGGUAUUUUGAGCUCAGACAGGUACCAAAUUUCUUGCUUGCUUUGCCUGUCACACUUCUGGGCUCAUGGGCUGCCUGGACCUACCUCACUGCAAACCCUCGGCACUGCCUAACUCUUGGUCUAGAGAGGAGAAAGAACGAAGAAGAACAAGGAGAGGGUAAACCAGGAACUGGAUUUUGCUGCCCUGCUGUCUUGGUGUAUGUGGUCCAUGCCACAGUCCUGCUGCUGCUUGGAGUCUUCUGCAUGCACGUGCAGGUUCUAACCAGGUUCCUUGGCUCCUCCACACCAGUCCUCUACUGGUUUCCUGCUCACCUGCUUCAAGAAUACGAACCUUUGCUCUGGAGUGAAGGGACUGAUAAGGAAACCACAGCAUCUCCCUCUGAGAAGUCUGUUUUAGCUGAUGAGCACAUCCAAAGCCCAGCAGCACAAAACGCUACGAUCUCGCCAUGGAAGGGGAGACCAUUCUUGCUUCCAGCCUCAAACACACCUCCUUGCAAGUGCCACCCUUCUGGAAGCAUCGCCUCUUCCCUGAGACGAAAGUGCUCGUUGCCACUUCUGCGUGCUUCAGCUCUUCGUCUGGCUGCGAGCUGCCCCUUCCUUGCAAGUCACCUGACCCUGGCCAUCCCCAUCAUUGCAGCUGUCCUCUUCUUCUUUGUCAUCAGCUGUCUGCUCCAGACAAGCUUCAGAGAUCCAGGUAUCCUGCCUCGAGCCACCCCAAGUGAAGCUGCGGACCUGGAAAAGCGGAUCGAUAACAUGGGCACCUCUACCUAUCGCCCGCCGGCCCGCACCAUGGAAGUGGUCAUAAACAAGUAUGUGGUGAAACUGAAGUACUGCUACACCUGCAAAAUGUUCCGUCCUCCACGAACCUCUCACUGCAGCGUCUGCGACAACUGUGUCGAGAGGUUUGAUCACCACUGCCCCUGGGUGGGCAACUGCGUGGGGAAGCGCAACUAUCGCUACUUCUAUGCCUUCAUCCUCUCCCUCUCCUUCCUGACAGCCUUCAUCUUUGCUUGUGUCGUCACCCACCUCACUCUGCGCUCUCAGAGAGACGGAUUCCUCACCACUCUGAAGACAACGCCUGCAAGUGUGCUGGAGCUGGUGAUUUGUUUUUUCUCAGUCUGGUCUAUUUUGGGCCUCUCAGGUUUUCACACUUACUUAGUCGCCUCCAACUUGACAACGAACGAAGAUAUCAAAGGGUCCUGGUCAAAUAAGAGGGGCUCAGAGUUUGCCAAUCCUUACAGCCAUAAAAGUAUCCUCACGAACUGCUGUGCAGUGCUGUGUGGACCGUUCCAUCCCAGUUUGAUAGACAGAAGAGGAUUUAUCCAGCCAGACAUCGGGACCCCGUCCAGUCCUAAGAACGAAAUCCCUUCCUUUGGAGCCAAAACUGACACCAGCAUGGAGGAUGCCUGCCAGGACUUUGCCAUUUCCUGCACAGCCUGAUGGGAUACACCCCCUCCUCGGAUGGGAGCCCGGCUCUCUGAGGGUCAGCCGUAUGUUCAGGGCGCUGAAGAGCUCUUGCGGACUGCAGCCCUCCGCCUCUCUCGGAGCGCCCCGAGGGAAGCCGAGACGCCCCGGACAAUCCCCGGAACGACAGCCAUCGCCACCACCACGUGUGCCUCCGCUCGCCG